UACGUAGGGGGCAAGCGUUAUCCGGAUUUACUGGGUGUAAAGGGAGCGUAGACGGCUUUGCAAGCCAGAUGUGAAAGCCCGGGGCUCAACCUCGGGACUGCAUUUGGAACUGUAUGGCUGGAGUGUCGGAGAGGCAGGCGGAAUUCCUAGUGUAGCGGUGAAAUGCGUAGAUAUUAGGAGGAACACCAGUGGCGAAGGCGGAUUGCUGGACAGUAACUGACGCUGAGGCGCGAAAGCGUGGGGAGCAAACAGG
rnacentral:rRNA from 1 species